rnacentral:lncRNA from 1 species
UUCAUCUUAGAGUAGUACAAUUUAGUAAUUAUAUCUCAUCCAACUUAUUCCUAUUACAUAUUUAUGUAUUAUCUCAUUCUUUUAAGAGUCAAUAAAAUUGACAUAUAUCACUCAUUAUAAAUUACACAAUUUCCAUCAAGUUUUUCUGAAUUUAAUAUAUUUAAUUUAUAAAUUUUUACAUUCUUAGAUUCUAAUAUAAAUCAACAAUAAAAGUAAGUCUUCUUAUGUUUUUUAAAAUUCAAUAAGCUUUGAUUCAUAAAAUACUAAAUAAAUAAUUUAAAACAUAGUAAUUCUAAUGUAUUUAGUUUGAUGGAUCCUACA